UGAACGCUGGCGGCGUGCCUAAUACAUGCAAGUCGAGCGAACGGACGAGAAGCUUGCUUCUCUGAUGUUAGCGGCGGACGGGUGAGUAACACGUGGAUAACCUACCUAUAAGACUGGGAUAACUUCGGGAAACCGGAGCUAAUACCGGAUAAUAUUUUGAACCGCAUGGUUCAAAAGUGAAAGACGGUCUUGCUGUCACUUAUAGAUGGAUCCGCGCUGCAUUAGCUAGUUGGUAGGGUAACGGCUUACCAAGGCAACGAUGCAUAGCCGACCUGAGAGGGUGAUCGGCCACACUGGAACUGAGACACGGUCCAGACUCCUACGGGAGGCAGCAGUAGGGAAUCUUCCGCAAUGGGCGAAAGCCUGACGGAGCAACGCCGCGUGAGUGAUGAAGGUCUUCGGAUCGUAAAACUCUGUUAUUAGGGAAGAACAUAUGUGUAAGUAACUGUGCACAUCUUGACGGUACCUAAUCAGAAAGCCACGGCUAACUACGUG
rnacentral:rRNA from 1 species